rnacentral:rRNA from 1 species
CCUACGGGUGGCAGCAGUGAGGAAUAUUGGUCAAUGGGCGCGAGCCUGAACCAGCCAAGUCGCGUGAGGGAAGACGGCCCUAUGGAUUGUAAACCUCUUUUGUCGGGGGGCAAACGACGCCACGCGUGGCGUUCCGAAAGUACCCUAAGAAAAAGGAUCGGCUAACUCCGUGCCAGCAGCCGCGGUAAUACGGAGGAUUCAAGCGUUAUCCGGAUUUAUUGGGUUUAAAGGGUGGGUAGGCGGAAGGUUAAGUUAGCGGUAAAAUUCCGAGGCUCAACCUCUUAGCGCCGUUGAAACUGGUUUUCUUGAGAGUAGGAGAAGUAUGCGGAAUGUGUGGUGUAGCGGUGAAAUGCAUAGAGAUCACGCAGAACUCCGAUUGCGAAGGCAGCAUACC